UCACCAUUAAUUUCAUAAAGUUCAGUUUCAAAACUUGAGUAUAGCUCCACAUCUAGAAUUUUACAAAUAAAACCAUUUUUAAAAAUAGUAGCAAGACCUCCUCCUCAGCCAGUAAUCCUGGGUGAAUUUAAGAAAUUACAACUUGGGGGUACCAUCUCACUAAAUGCACUAAGGUCGGCUCCAUGAAUCCAGGUUUCCGCAAUGAACACAAAUUUUAUUUAUCACAGACCUGGUGUUGAUCAAUGCCAUCCUAUAGGGGGGUUAUUCUUCCACCAGUAAAGUAUGCCGAUCCAGCUGGCGAAGAUUAGAAAAGUUUACCCUGGUGAGAAAGCCGGCACGCAAUGCUGUCGCCAAGUUAACCCAGGAAAUCAAACAGGAGCUGCGGAUGUUGACCAGUCGAGUCCCAGCCGGACAGGAGAAUAAUCCGGAUCAAAAACCAGCCUCAGGUUUCGAGGUUGAAGUUGACAAUCAUAUUCACAAUCUACCCAUGAUAAGCAGGUCAACGAUUGAACAGUCACAAGCCUUCGAGACUUGACUAAAACUCCAGCCCGGGAGCCCCUUCUACACCUCUACUUGUGACGGCGGCAAAAAGUCAUCAUCUCAGCCAGAGCAAGCAUGUCAACCAAACCUCUUACUGUAUUACUUGACGCCACUGGAGGUGGACAAUAAACACAACAUGGUCUUGCCAAAUUAAAUUCCAGGACAGCAGAUCAAAUGUCUAGAAGUAUCUGCCGAUCAUAGGUCAACACGGAAAAAAUAAAAUGAAAUUGAAAAAAAACACAAUAAUAAACACAA